rnacentral:rRNA from 1 species
GACGAACGCUGGCGGCGUGCUUAACACAUGCAAGUCGAGCGGUAAGGCCCUUUCGGGGGUACACGAGCGGCGAACGGGUGAGUAACACGUGGGUGACCUGCCCUCAGCUCUGGGAUAAGCCUGGGAAACCGGGUCUAAUACUGGAUAUGACUCCAUGACGCAUGUUGUGGGGGUGGAAAGCCUUGUGCGGCUGAGGAUGGGCCCGCGGCCUAUCAGCUUGUUGGUGGGGUGAUGGCCUACCAAGGCGACGACGGGUAGCCGGCCUGAGAGGGCGACCGGCCACACUGGGACUGAGACACGGCCCAGACUCCUACGGGAGGCAGCAGUGGGGAAUCUUGCGCAAUGGGCGAAAGCCUGACGC